rnacentral:misc_RNA from 1 species
UAUAUCCUGCCAUGCCUGAGCCGGCGCGCAGCCCGAGCAGUGACAAUUCGACAAGUGUGGAACUUUGCGAUCUUCGGAAUCCGGGAAACGUCUCGAUUACUAAUUAUUUUUGCGAACACCUACGUCAGUGAUUUGACUUAAAGCCGUGGUUGCAGUAUCGCACACGUUUGAGCUUUGAUGCCUCCAGUGAUGGAUAAAACAGCAGAAGACAAACCCCUAGUCACUGAUAGCUGCACAGGGUCUACUUCAGACACCAAUGACAUCAUCACCAGAUACGAGUCAAUGUUUGCCUCCAGGUACACUGCGGAGGAUCCUGCCUAUCAACCUUACAUGGACAAAGGAAUGGACCCGCCCCCAAUCGUUGAAAAUUACUUCCUCAGACAGAGAUCCAACUGGAAUGACAACCGCAGGGAUUCAAGAACAUAUGAGGACAGAGGCCACAAGCGCAGAUAUGAGGGUGCAGGUUUCUAUGACAACAGCAAGCGACAAAGGUCACAAUACGACAACCAAGACUAUCAUCACCAAGGGAGGGGGUGGGGUCACCCACAAAGGGGUCACCAUGGUGGAAACCAGUCAGGUGGUCAGUACCACCGCCACCCUGACUGGAGAGCCAGGGAUGGGCACGGAUAUCCACCCAACCAGAGGGGGAGACGUUACGAUGACAGAGAGCGAGGGCACUCAUGGGGAUCUUACGAGGCCAGACACGCCAUUCCACAUGCCCCUCCAGAAGACGAAUGGACAUAAUGUACUUCAUUAAUGACCUCAAUACUAUACAGCAAGUUUCCUCAGCUCACAUUGACUUGGAAUGCAGAUCACUGCCACUUACACUGGCUCAUCUGUGUUCUGAUAGGCUCAAGAAAAAAAUUGCACUUAAGAACAAAUUCCAUUGUCUUACUCCAUCAGAUUGGAAUACUUAUAUACCAGAAAAGACAAGUGAACAAGUGGUUGACACAUCUUCCAGGCUCAUCAGGGAGAACAUUUCAUUGAUAACAGAUGGGAUUACCUUGGUAUUAAAAAAACAAAGUAAGGGGCCAGCCAUAAUUCUCAUCAUUUUCAUAAGUGUACAAGAAGUAGACUUUUCACUAACCCCCCUUCAUGUACAUCAGCGGGUAAGAAAUGAUUAUAGGUGGAGAGCUCCAUUAGCCUAAUCCCUUAUUGCCGAGGCACAGUGAUAUACAUUUAAGUAUUGUAGUUAACAAAAAUGUUAAUUUCAAAUAAAACAUUGUUUAAAACAACAGCUGAAAAGUCAAGGCUUAAAAAACAGUGAAUACUAGUGGAGGAUAAAACAGAACGUGCGUAUGUGGCAUAAAGGAAGCGGCGUAGAGCUAGCUAGAAACACCCAUGAAACUUGAAAGUGACCGCCGAUUUGCAUGUUGACGAAUCAUACUUUUUCAUAUUCAGAAAAGUGUACAUGGGGUCUUUAACUAACUCCCUCCCCCUGUAUGGUUCGUAUGAUUGUGAAAAUGAUGAAAAAUAUGGGCGGCCCCUAAAUGAAUAAAUAAAUAAGUGUAUAAAAGGUCAUAUUGUGCUUCUCCAAAACUCCCCUUUUUGUUGACCUACAGUAUAGUUGGGGGAAAGUUCUAGUUUGUUAACUAUAUGCCAGUGAAAUGGCACAAGUUUUGUAGUUCAUCAGAGAUGCCCAUUCAUGGUGACAUACAAUUAAGAUUCCCAUGUGGAGUGUUUUAAAACAGCAGAACACUCCACUGUUCCAUUUGGGAUUGCAUAGUGCUUACAUGGGAACAGCUUCGGAAUGAUUGCCUAAAUAAGCCUUUUGCGAGUUAAGUUUGAAUAAAAUCUGGUACACUGAGUUAUCUGAUCGCACAUAAACACAAUUUGAAUUCUCUAGGCUAAAGACACCGUUAUUAUACCUCGUGAUUCAGGGCAAGCUUUUGCAUAGCAACUACCACCUGUGGAAUUGACUGGUUCCUUUGUGCCUUUCUUACCCAUUGAAAACGGUGUAUUGAUGGAAGGCAUCUGUAACUAAGCAAAAGUUUGCAAAAGGCUUAUUAGGUACAGCUUGUUUUUCGUAAUCAUGCCUGGUAGAUUGCCUAUUCUAAUUGGGCAUUGCUGACUGUUUUCUAAAUGGAACACCAAAUGGUCCUAUCUGGGAAUGAUUGCCCAGUUAGGAGUAGCCCACUUCACUACAAAUCAUAACUGAAGCACUGUUUAUUCCAAGUCCCCCCUGGACCAAACAUGGUGCUGUUUUGUUGUUUAGUUAAGCAGGAAGUUUUUGAGUUGGGUAUGUUUUUUUGUUUUAAAUUAUUGUCUGUUUGUGUUGGGACACUAGAGGGUGCUGUUGUGGCUUUAACCUCAAUUUAUACCAUGGACGUUAAAUAAAUGAUUUUCAGUAGUGUGAUUUUUGACAGUCAACCUUUGACUGUCACGUAAAAAUGUCUAUAAAACAGUCUGGACUCGCAGUGCUCUUGUACCGACUGAAACCACCAGCGGCCAUCUUACCAUGCCAAAUACAAUGGUGAUCAUGACUCCUGUGCCAUUGCAACUAUUGUUGCCACUGUCAUUUGGUUAACAAUAGUAACCAAGCCUUCGCACAACCUUUUUGGCAUGGUAAGAUGGCAGGCGGUGGAAUCAGUGACUUGUGUGGGCUAAUUAAAUUAAGGGCAUUGCGAUUCAAGAUUUUUGUAUAUGAUGUCUGUGAUUCAUACUCUGGCUUGCAGCUACUUUACGUAUCAUUUCAAAAUUCCUAUUGGUUGACUAUAGGACAGGGCCCUCCGACUGAUAUAUAGAUAAUAACAAGUGACUUGUGUUGAGUGAAUAAUGGGGGGGGUGUUGCUCCACUGAAACCACAUAGCCAUGGGAGUAAUGCAAUGUAGAGGCAUUUAUCGGUUAGUAUUGGCCACUUGAGAACACUUCACCUGAUAGCCAACCCAUAAUAAAUGUAGCGGUCAGACCGUUCCGUCCAAAACCUACGUGAUAAGAAUUUUGAAAUGGUGCCUUAUCUGCAAUUGGUCUAGUCUAAGAUGAUCUUGUUCCUGAAUUGGUCCAGUGGACCUGUACUAUAAGCACUAGCUCUGCAUACAGCGAUGUGGUGUAUCUUUUUUACAUCUAGGUUUGUAUGUUUCAACACUAAAUGCCUGAAAUGUAAACCUUGGAUUUUUACUACUCAGACAUAUCAUAUGUCUGCAAUUGUGGGAUGUAUUUCAGAUUUGAUAUGUCAGAAAUGCAAAGAGAUUUAACAUUCCAAGCAUUUAAUAGUUGAAAUUGAAAUCUAGUGUCUGAAUAAAACUGUUGUUGACUUUUCAGACAUUUCGUCCUUCACUAAAAGCAUUUCACUAACAUUGCUUGGUGAUUGAUUAAUAAAGGUCAUCUUGUAAUGCAGUCAUCUACGCUGGUUUUGACCGUUAUGUCCAUUAAAUAGUGAUACAGUAGCAGCUUAUGUGAUUGAAUCCAUGAGAGUUUGCCCCUCAUGUGGCUUGGCUUUGUUGUGUUUGUUGCUAAAGGAGUCUCAGAUCAGCUUUAACUGUGUGGCUUAUUAUGUGGAAAAAAUAUUGUGAAGAGUGAAUUUCAAAAAAGUUGAUGAAUGCUCUCCACAGACUUAAUUGUGUUUGGAAGCAACCUAUUAAAAAAGUUAGAUCUUGGUUGGAAAUAAAAAGUAAUACCAAUAAACUUGAAUUAGAAUCUAUUAAUAUAUCCUGUUUUAUUGGUACAUGUAACAGGUGUGAUCUCUUCAGUUUACUGUCAUUUCCCAUUUAAUGCAAAUGGUAGUCAGGCUCCAUCAACAGACUUUUGAUCCCCCUUGGAUCUCAAAUAAAAUUUUGAUGUUCUAA